rnacentral:lncRNA from 1 species
GCAGAGCAGACACACUCAUGCAGAGGGACAUGUGUCACAUGCCUCCUCAGAGCCUGCUCUGUGUGCUGGUGGCCUUGGCUUUCUCUGGAUGCAAUGUGGCCCAGAGAGUGACUCAGGUCCAGUCAACAGGCAGCAGUCAGUGGGGAGAAGUCACCCUGGACUGUUCAUAUGAGACAAGUGAAUACUCCUACCUUAUUCUUUGCCUCACAGCCAGAGGAUUCAGGGACGUACUUCUGCGCUCUCUCGGAA